rnacentral:pre_miRNA from 1 species
GCGUGCCUGGCUCCCUGUAUGCCACACAUGUAGCCCGAUCCGUGCCGAGGUUGGAUGCUGUGGGUGGCGUGCAAGGAGCCAAGCAUGC